rnacentral:misc_RNA from 1 species
CAAGAAUACAAAGAUAAAUUGGCGAUAUAUAUAUAUAGAACACAUUCAUGGACCUUUAUUUAUUACAUAUUUAUAUCUGCAUCACUAGUGCAGCUAUCUAGCCAAGUACUACUUCCAGAUAAAUGGAGGAGGCUAAUUAAGCAACACAAUCUCAUGGGGUAGCACAAUCCCAUGAGAUUAGGUCCCUUCCCCCACACAUUACAUAACUUAAGGGAUUAGCCUACAAAAAUACAAAGGUAAAUUGGC